AGUCGCGUGCGCAGUUCCUGUAGCAAUACAGGGAUGGGCGCACGGCGCACGGGUGCGUAACACGUGGGCAAUCUGCCCUCCGAUGGGGAAUAACCCCGCGAAAGCGGGGCUAAUUCCGCAUAACAUUCCUUGGACUCACGUUCGAGGAUUCAAAGCAGCAAUGCGUCGGAGGAGGAGCCCGCGCCCGAUUAGCUAGUUGGUGAGGUAACGGCUCACCAAGGCAAUGAUCGGUAGCUGGUCUGAGAGGAUGGCCAGCCACACUGGAACUGAGACACGGUCCAGACUCCUACGGGAGGCAGCAGUGGGGAAUCUUGCACAAUGGGCGAAAGCCUGAUGCAGCGACGCCGCGUGGGGGAUGAAGCUUCUCGGAGUGUAAACCCCUUUCGCCUGGGAAGAAUGCCCGCAAGGGAGUGACGGUACCAGGAUAAGAAGCCCCGGCUAACUACGUGCCAGCAGCCGCGGUAAGACGUAGGGGGCCAGCGUUGUUCGGAAUUACUGGGUGUAAAGGGUUCGUAGGCGGUGCGGCAAGUUGGGAGUGAAAUCUCUGGGCUCAACCCAGAGGCUGCUUCCAAAACUGCUGUGCUUGAGUGUGAGAGAGGCUCGUGGAAUUGCAGGUGUAGCGGUGAAAUGCGUAGAUAUCUGCAGGAACACCCGUGGCGAAAGCGGCGAGCUGGAUCUCUACUGACGCUGAGGAACGAAAGCUA
rnacentral:rRNA from 1 species